AUUUCCUUCCAGCCGUCUUCCAGCUGGCUUUAUUCCCAGAUAACAGCCCAACAGAAACGAAAAACCAGUCUGGCACCAUCACCAGUUGCAGUCUCUCACUCUUCAGGUAGAACAGUGUCCCUUCCCGGGCAGGUUUUGAUGACAUGGGGUUCAGAUGGCAGCAUCUGAAAUGCACUGGAACUGGUACAGCCUCUGGUGUUCACGACAGAUGCUCUCUCACGCCUAAGGAAUUAGGAAUCCCAGCUCAUGCCGUAGAAGAAUAGUAGAGUUUAUUCCCUCCAAAGUCUAAACAUACAGAUACAGGUGUAAUUUUGAGGAAUUUAAAUGUAAUCCUAUCAUUAUGAGUAGUAGGCCUUAGCUGCAGACAUACAUCUGUAAUUAAGCAGAAUUAUUCAUAAGGGGGUUUGGCUGUUGUCAAGGCAGACUUGGUAGCUCAGGUUAUUGUUAAACAGUGUUAAAACAGCAGGGGCAACUCAGCCCUGAGUGACCACCUCACUCCACCUCACUAGGCCUAAUGUGGGUGCCUAAUGAUGUGACUCUGCCUGUGUGUGACCUUCUGCCUCCACAAGUGUGCUAUUUGUCUUUCAGUUCUCCUGAAUUUGGGAGGCAGGCACCAUGGCCUUAACAUGCCUUUGCCUUUCUCCGUAAAGUACAUCAAUGCAGGCUGAGUGCAAAGCCCACAUAUACCUCUUUUACACUCCAUAAGCAUGGGUGCAUGGCUUACAAAGCAAGGCAGGGUCCAUCUCCCAGUUCCUGACCCCUCUCUCGUGCUCCCUGCUGUGCUUCACUCCCUGAUGAGAGCAGAAGAAAACAGCGAAUCUUUUCCUUCUGUCUACAAGCUCCUUGGCACCGCACCAUCAGGCAAGAUGAAGUACAAUCUAGGAAUGGAAAAGUAGCUCAUAUUUAGACUGGAACAUUUAAUACUAUACCCUGGAAAACUGUGUUUUGCUGAGGCUUCUGACAGGGGAAGAAGGAGUGAUGUGAGAUUUUUGCAGUUCUCCUAAAAAUACCUAACCAAUAAAAUCCACGCCAUGUUCAAGGUAGAAAUCACACAGGAAGAGAAAGAACCUCUUACUAUUCAGCUAAUAAACACCUUGGAUUAGUUAAAGCUAAAAUAAUUUAAAAUAUCCAGUCUUAAUCUAACAUUUCAUUCUGUUUGAUUACCCUUUGCAUUUUACUUCCCCCGAAGAGCAUCACCAGCAAUGUCAUAUUUCCCACUGUUCUUCAAUGGCUUCACAUUGUGAUUUCCAGGCUGUGCUAGAAUAAAUAGCACAGCUUGGAAACUGAAGCGGCAUGCAAGGCUGAUCAUUUGCUCAAAACCAACAGUUUUCAAGUAAAUGAAUGGAAAGUAAUUGCAUUUCGGCUUCAGCUUGAAAAUGUAACCAGCAUUAGCAUGUAUCUUCCUGUUGAGUUUAUACAGUCAAUGGCACUUGCUUAUUAGAGAUGUUUCUGGGUCACUGCACUAUUUGUACACGAAUAAUAGCUCAUGGAGAUGUAGUUUGUAGUCCUGCACAGAUCACUCCAACAGUAUACUCUGACCCUGCAUAGAACAAAGAUGUUGUCAUACUAAUUUCCGAGUGAUUCAUGUGUUUGUUUGCCUCAUCGUAAGUUUGCUCUAUGACCCUGGGACUAAAUCUGUCCUUCACGAUUCACCAUGUGCAAGGGCUCUGUAACUCCCUCAUGACCCAUGAGCUCUCUGUAAGAAGCCAAGCCUGACUAGGAGAACUGAAUGCAUCAGGUUCAGCAGCUGUAUCUCGAAUUGGGUUUGUGCCAAAAUAUGCCAGUAUUCUAAUUUCUCCAGAAAUAACCACUGACAACAGAGUAUCACAGGAUCAUUGAACAGUUUGGGUUGUAAGGGACCUUAAAGAUCAUCUAGUUACAACCCCCCUGCCAUGGGCAGGGACACCUUCCACUAGACCAGGUUGCCCAAAGCCCUGUCCAGCUUAAAAUCUGCUCUCACAUCUAUACUUGUUGCCAUGGAAAUAUGCAGUGACAAGGUUUUUUUCCAUCAUUUUAAAAGUUUUCUCUGCCACCUACCAUAUGUUUUUCAGACUGCCCUGGUAAUCACAUAGGUUUACCCAAACACAAAGACCACUGUGGGCGUACUGAACUUGCACAGAGCCAAGUAGAGAGCUGUUCAGCAUGACCCGAAGAAAGCACACGUGCAGCAACACUGCUGCCAGUCCUUAAUACAGAGAGAGACGACUGUCUGGAGAUUCUUUCAGCUAGGCACCAACAAAACCUUUUAGUUACUGAGGACCAACUGGGUUUGAUGAGAGAGCAAACAGCACGCGCCAUAGUGUUACCCAUCAAGACAAAUACCAAUAACAACUAGCUAUCAGCAUGAUUCAAAUGCUGCCCUUAGACUGUGACUUUAAAUUAGUGAAGGAUGUUGUAUUUGUAGUGCAAGUGUGUCCCCAGUGGCUGCCAAACAUUUUGCUUCUGGCAGUAGCCCUCUGCAUUGCCCUUACCAUAUGUCGCCACCUCCAGCUACCUCCCCAUGCCCAUCUCCUCUGCUUCCCCGCUCUGUGCAUCUGCUCCAGCCAGAAGCUCCAUUUCCCAAGAGACUCACAUGAACUGGCUGAGGCCCAGCCACAGAUGACAAUAUUAAGCAGUGCCUCUGGGCUGUGAGUGGUGGGGAAGGUGCCUUGGCUGGGGACAGUCACUUUGAAGUCGCUCAGGGUGCUGCACGCUCACUGCACUGGAACAGCCUGGCAGAGGGCUGCAGAACGAUGCCUACAGCCCAGGAGAAGGGAGGCUUUCCCUGCAUCUCCCCAGAGGCAGACUGUGGCAGCAGGAGGAAGGCAAAAUCCCAUCCUGCCACCCGUGUAGGAAGGGAAAGGCAGGCCAUGCCAUGGCUGUGGGCAGAGCAGAAGCAGGGAGUGACAAAAGCCAAAGGCAAAGUACAGGAAAUGUAUAAAAGGAGCCAACACUGAAAUCUCCUGGAAUAAGACUUUGGCUUAUGCCAGGUUGCUACACCAAUUUUGUGGCAUGAUGAUAGGUUUCAGCCUUUGGCUACCAGGCAAGCCCAGGGUGGAAAGUGUAAUGGGACUUUAUGUUCAACAUUAGCUCAGAGCAGGCUGCAGAAUCACUGAGGUGGAUGGGCUGCAGGACUGUAAACAAAGGAUUAUGGCAUGUGGCGAGAGGCUGUUCAGAGGGAAGGGACCAAGGGUAUCAUGGGGAUGGGGAUCAGCAAGACCUUAGACUGAGUGCCUCAUUAAAGUUUUAAACUGGUGCUUAAACCAUCCAGCUGACAGAAAAUCAUACUGAAGAGGCUCUGGUAUGUCCUGGAGAAGAGCAGGAGCUGCCUCUGGGCAAGGAAGGGACAUGCUCAGGAAGGUGUUGGGUGCCUGUGCUCCGUUAGCAGCUAGGAAGAGCAGGGCACUGUGCCUGGGAGAUGCCAGCAGCCUGUAACCUAAAAGCUGUGUUACUCUCCUCUCCCCAAGGCUCAGGAACGCGCAGGGGCAUUAUGGUGCAAAACCAGGAGGGCUCUGAACAAAAGAGAGUAGGCUGAGAGCUGGAGAAGCUACACAAUAGCUAGGUCAGGAUCCUCCCAACAACGGUGUAAACACAGCCUGAGAAGGAGAGAGUAGAAACUGCAAACUAGAGGCAGGACUCAACCUGCAAAACAAAAGCUAUUUAGCAAGGAGGAAAUAAUUCACCAGCUAACGUUCCCCGUUGGCAGAGGGGGGAACAGUUCUGGAAAGUCAACCUGUGUUGAGCAAACCUUAGGACAGCUAGCAAAUUAGAAGGGACAUUAGGAGAUGUUAGGAAGGAGGAAGGCAACACACCAGCACCAGGACUGUGCACACAGCUACCCCGCGCCAGGUAGCACUGAGGCAAGUGCUCGGCAAGAGCCCACUCUGCUCAGUUCAGGGCAGCAGCUAAUGAGAGAGCCUGACACACUGGGAAGAAGUCAGAAGAAAGGUGAUAGCUCGUUGUGCAACUACAGGGGAUUGAUCUAUGAUGACGGUAUGUUUUCCUUGGCUCUGAGGGGAUAUGGAAACAGUUUACAAACACUUGUAAGGCAUAAACCCAAGCAGGGCAUAAUACUUACUACAGAAGAUAAAACAAAAAGAGGAAAAAACAAAGCUGAAAGUAACUAGCAACAUUUUACCAAUGAGCUCUAUUAGGUUGUGAAACAGCUGUCACAAGGAAAGCAGAGAAAAAUGCAGGCACGGGCAGUUUUAAAGUUGCAUGGGAAAAAAGUAACUAAUACAUCUGCAAUGAAUAGCAUACAGAAGAAUUUAUUGAAGUGAUACAAAUACUUCCACCCCCCACAAUCUGUGGUCCCAACUUUCCACUGCCCUGCAUCUCUUGCUAUGAUUAACAGCAAUACAAAGAAGAUAAAUGUGUAUUAAAGCAGGAGAGUAACCUUAGAGUACUGCUCUGCCUGAGUGCAUAGACUUCUGGAGGUUUUCAGCCAACAGAGAAUUAGGUUUUAUAAUUGUGUGGGGGAAAACAACUCACUAGCAGUGAUCCUCUUCAGCUCCUCUGGAGAUCUCCUCCUGCCCCAUCCCAAAUCUCCUUUAGUCUUGAUGAGGUAGGGAUAUGACUCCACGUUUGGAUAGUAUGUAUAAAAGUCAUAUCCAGCUGUUUCUGAAAUCUCCCAAUUACCUCUCAAAUACCCUUCCAAUUGCAUUUAGGAGACCAUUCAUGGGGCUCCUGAAGAUCCAGAAGGAAACCUGAAAGAUCGAGGCCCAAAUGCAA
rnacentral:lncRNA from 1 species